rnacentral:tRNA from 1 species
AAAACUUUAAGUUAUUUAAACUAUUAAUCUUCAAAAUUAAAAAUAUUCCAAUUUUAAGUUUUA